GAUAAUGGUCUGAGCAAAGGGCAGAAUGUGGAUACAGAAAAAAAAAAAAAAAAAAGGAAGAAAGCAGGAUAAAUAGGUUCGACACUUAGAGAUCUGAAGGAACGUAUUCAGCUAGGCUGCUGCAGAAGAAAUGAGCAUAAUUUACAUAAUUUCGGUGUUCGCAAGGGAGCUGCCUGGAUACUUUAUCUUUGGCUGGAUCUUCAUGCCUGUGACUUUACUCCUACUGCUGCUCAUUGUCUAUUUCAGGAUCCAACUAUCAAAAGUUGAUAAGGAGCUGGCCAUGCUGUAUGACCCCAGAAACACCCUCCCAAACUACGACAUCAAUCAGCAGAAACCAUGGAGAUCUCGGAAAAACGCAAACAAAUAGGGGAUCUGAAUGACAUUAAAGGGAGUCUCAAGCCUCAGGAUACAAGGUUACAAUCAGUGCUCAGCUCUUCAGGCUUAAAUACAACCAGCUGAAGAUAAAUAUCAUAGAGGAGAACAAAAUGGAGAGAAGCUAGUGCCAUGCGGUACUAAUCAAACAGUUGUUGCCAUUCAAAAAGACCUCAUAGCAGUUUUGCUCUCUCACCUGUGGCCAAGUGAUCAGUACUUUCAUCAGCUCAUCAGACACCAGAGACCUCCUGCAAUGUACCGCAUCAGUUUGUUUAUGUGGCACAGGAUUCAGUGGGAUAGAAAGCACCUUGCUCACCAGUCCUUCACCAGCCUACAGAGAAGUACACUCAAUAUUUAACAAGCUCCUGGGAGAGAUGAGUUACAUAUACAAUGAAGGCCGUCAUAUUAAAUUGAAAAUGCAAAAAUAAUAAGUUCAUACCAAGCAAUGACAUCUAGAAAUUGAAAAAGGGUGAUGGGGGGGAACUGACUUAUUUUUAUCCGCUUGUAUACUUUGUGAAAGAUCGUAGGUUUUCUAAAGUAUGGAAAUAAAAUAUGACAAUGAUGGGAAA